UAGGACGUAUGGCCUUGUUGGUGUUGUU
rnacentral:piRNA from 1 species